UUUAUUCAGAAAAUGUUUGUGGCAUACCCUCUGCUAGUAGGCAGAAUUCUAAAAAUGGGUGCCAAGAUCUCCUGCUCCCUGUGUCCAUGUUUUAAAUAAUCCCCAGGACUGUAAACAUGAUAGAUUUUGCUCCUGUAAUUGGGCUAUAUUACUUGGCAAGUUGACCUUAAGAUCUGGAGAUUAUCCAGGACAGAACAACGUGUGAACUCUUCACAGAAAAUCUAAGUAUUGGUUCAUUAAAAAUGAGCAGAACAACAGCAACAAUACAAGCCAAUAACCAAAUGAAAACCCAUUCCCUUUUGCUUGAUAAAAAGUGCUGGCUAAAGAAAGAGGACUUGAGGAUUUUAAGAAAUGGGAGAUCUACCAGAGGGAAAAAACCUGGGCCCCUGAAUUGCACAUGGAGAAAAGUUGUCCACUGAGUAGGAACUCCCACAUUAGAUUCCUACUUGAGAAAGAAUUUUUUAUUGUUAGGCCACCACAAUUUGAGGAUUUAUUUGUUAAAGCAGCUAGCAUUAUCCUAAUAAACACUAUAUGUUAAAUGCUGAAGCUACCCGGGACGGGGACGAACCAUAAGCAGGCAAAAUUUAGAGCACAAUCAAAAUUAGGCCAUUUUAACAAAAACAAACACAUAGAUCAAUGGAACAGAAUAGGGAACUCAGAAAAGGGCCCUCAACUCUAUGGUCAACUAAUAUUCAGCAAAGCAGUAAAGCCUAUCCACUGGAAAAAGACAGUC